rnacentral:rRNA from 1 species
AGAGUUUGAUCAUGGCUCAGAUUGAACGCUGGCGGCAGGCCUAACACAUGCAAGUCGAGCGGUAGCACAGAGAGCUUGCUCUCGGGUGACGAGCGGCGGACGGGUGAGUAAUGUCUGGGAAACUGCCUGAUGGAGGGGGAUAACUACUGGAAACGGUAGCUAAUACCGCAUAAUGUCGCAAGACCAAAGUGGGGGACCUUCGGGCCUCAUGCCAUCAGAUGUGCCCAGAUGGGAUUAGCUAGUAGGUGGGGUAAUGGCUCACCUAGGCGACGAUCCCUAGCUGGUCUGAGAGGAUGACCAGCCACACUGGAACUGAGACACGGUCCAGACUCCUACGGGAGGCAGCAGUGGGGAAUAUUGCACAAUGGGCGCAAGCCUGAUGCAGCCAUGCCGCGUGUGUGAAGAAGGCCUUCGGGUUGUAAAGCACUUUCAGCGGGGAGGAAGGCGAUAAGGUUAAUAACCUUGGCGAUUGACGUUACCCGCAGAAGAAGCACCGGCUAACUCCGUGCCAGCAGCCGCGGUAAUACGGAGGGUGCAAGCGUUAAUCGGAAUUACUGGGCGUAAAGCGCACGCAGGCGGUCUGUCAAGUCGGAUGUGAAAUCCCCGGGCUCAACCUGGGAACUGCAUUCGAAACUGGCAGGCUAGAGUCUUGUAGAGGGGGGUAGAAUUCCAGGUGUAGCGGUGAAAUGCGUAGAGAUCUGGAGGAAUACCGGUGGCGAAGGCGGCCCCCUGGACAAAGACUGACGCUCAGGUGCGAAAGCGUGGGGAGCAAACAGGAUUAGAUACCCUGGUAGUCCACGCCGUAAACGAUGUCGAUUUGGAGGUUGUGCCCUUGAGGCGUGGCUUCCGGAGCUAACGCGUUAAAUCGACCGCCUGGGGAGUACGGCCGCAAGGUUAAAACUCAAAUGAAUUGACGGGGGCCCGCACAAGCGGUGGAGCAUGUGGUUUAAUUCGAUGCAACGCGAAGAACCUUACCUGGUCUUGACAUCCACAGAACUUUCCAGAGAUGGAUUGGUGCCUUCGGGAACUGUGAGACAGGUGCUGCAUGGCUGUCGUCAGCUCGUGUUGUGAAAUGUUGGGUUAAGUCCCGCAACGAGCGCAACCCUUAUCCUUUGUUGCCAGCGGU